rnacentral:rRNA from 1 species
GCUGUCGUCAGCUCGUGUCGUGAGAUGUUGGUUCAGUCCCGCAACGAGCGCAACCCGCGUGCGUAGUUAUUUGUGUCUACGCAGACUGCCGGGAGCAACCCGGAGGAAGGCGCGGAUGACGUCAAGUCGGCACGGCCCUUACACCUUGGGCUACACACACGCUACAAUGGCCGGGACAGCGGGCUGCAAGAGCGCAAGCUGGAGCCAAUCCCUGCAAACCCGGUCGUAGUUCGGAUCGGGGGCUGCAACUCGCCCCCGUGAAGUCGGAGUUGCUAGUAACCGCGGGUCAGCACACCGCGGUGAAUAUGUUCCCGGGCCUUGUACACACCGCCCGUCACACCAUGGGAGCGUGGGGGACCUGAAGUCGCGCUAAGCACGCGCCGAGGGUCAAUCGCGUGACUGGGGUG